rnacentral:rRNA from 1 species
GAUCCUGGCUCAGGAUGAACGCUAGCGGGAGGCUUAACACAUGCAAGUCGAGGGGCAUCACGAGGUAGCAAUACUUUGGUGGCGACCGGCGCACGGGUGAGUAACGCGUAUGUAACCUACCCUGUACAGGGGGAUAGCCCGGAGAAAUUCGGAUUAAUACCCCAUAAUGAUAUCUGGAGGCAUCUUUUGAUAUUUAAAGCUUCGGCGGUACGGGAUGGGCAUGCGUGACAUUAGCUAGUUGGUAAGGUAACGGCUUACCAAGGCUGCGAUGUCUAGGGGUCCUGAGAGGGUGAUCCCCCACACUGGUACUGAGACACGGACCAGACUCCUACGGGAGGCAGCAGUGAGGAAUAUUGGUCAAUGGGCGUAAGCCUGAACCAGCCAUCCCGCGUGAAGGAAGAAGGCGCUAUGCGUCGUAAACUUCUUUUCCAGAGGAAUAAAAUUUCGUACGUGUACGGAACUGAAGGUACUUUGGGAAUAAGCAUCGGCUAACUCCGUG